GGGGUUGUAGCUCAGUGGUAGAGUACUUACAUAGCAUGUAUGAGGCAGUGGGUUCAAUCCUCAGCACCA
rnacentral:tRNA from 1 species